rnacentral:rRNA from 1 species
GAUGAACGCUGGCGGCAUGCCUAACACAUGCAAGUCGAUCGGUAAGGCUCUUCGGAGUACACGAGAGGCGGACGGCUGAGUAACGCGUAGGAACACACCCUGCAGUGAGGGAUAAGACACCGAAAGGUGUUCUAAUACCGCAUACGGUCUUCGGAUUAAAGCAUUUAUGCGCUGAAGGAGUGGCCUGCGUCAUAUUAGAUAGUUGGUGAGGUAAUGGCUCACCAAGUCGAUGAUGUGUAGCUGGUCUGAGAGGAUGAUCAGCCAGACUGGAACUGAGACGCGGUCCAGACUCCUACGGGAGGCAGCAGUGAGGAAUAUUUCACAAUGAGCGAAAGCUUGAUGGAGCAAUGCCGCGUGCAGGAUGAAGGCCCUCGGGUUGUAAACUGCUUUUAUAAGAGAAGAUUAUGACGGUAACUUAUGAAUAAGGGACGGCUAACUACGUG